CGUGAUCAGAGUCCAAGCUGAGAAAGGUCACAUUUUCAAGUCUUCAAUCCAUUUUGCAUGCUCAAUGGUCUUGUGGAUGGAAAGGAAGAUAAACGCUAAAGCAAAGUGGCUAGAUAAUGGCGAGGGAAAGGCAAUGUGUGGAUGGAAAUAUAAGCAGGUUUGUAUUUGCUGAGAUGAAAUUCUCAGAAAGCAAGGGCGUGA
rnacentral:lncRNA from 1 species